GACGAACGCUGGCGGCGUGCUUAACACAUGCAAGUCGAACGCUGAAGCUCAGCUUUUGUUGGUUGGAUGAGUGGCGCACGGGUGAGUAACACGUGAGUAACCUGCCUCCUUCUUUGGGAUAACGCCCGGAAACGGGUGCUAAUACUGGAUAUUCACUUGUCUUCGCCUUGGGGUUGGUGGAAAGGGUUUUUCUGGUGGUGGUUGGGCUCGCGGCCUAUCAGCUUGUUGUUGUGGUGAUGGCCUACCAAGGCUUUGACGGGUAGCCGGCCUGAGCGGGUGACCGGGCACAGUGGGACGGAGAUACGGCCCAGAGUAGUACGGGAGGGAGCAGUGGGGAAAAUUGCACAAUGGGCGCAAGCCUGAUGCAGCGACGCUGCGGGAGGGAUGGAGGCCUUCGGGUUGUGAACCUCUUGCGCUAAUGGUCAAGCCGCAACAAUGGUUGUGGUGAGGGUAGUGGGUAAAGAAGCGCCGGCUAACUACGUG
rnacentral:rRNA from 1 species